rnacentral:rRNA from 1 species
UGCGAGUCAUUGUAGUAAUACAAGGCAGACGGCUCAGUAACGCGUAGUCAACCUACCCUAUGGACGGGAAUAACCUCGGGAAACUGAGUAUAAUGCCCGAUAGAACACUAUACCUGGAAUGGUUUGUGUUCCAAAUGAAUGUCGCCGUAGGAUGGGACUGCGGCCUAUCAGUUUGUUGGUGAGGUAAUGGCCCACCAAGACUAUUACAGGUACGGGCUCUGAGAGGAGUAGCCCGGAGAUGGGUACUGAGACACGGACCCAGGCCCUAUGGGGCGCAGCAGGCGAGAAAACUUUGCAAUGUGCGAAAGCACGACAAGGUUAAUCCGAGUGGUUUGUGCUAAACGAACCUUUUGACAGUCCUAGAAACACUGUUGAAUAAGGGGUGGGCAAGUUCUGGUGUCAGCCGCCGCGGUAAAACCAGCACCUCAAGUGGUCAGGAUGAUUAUUGGGCCUAAAGCAUCCGUAGCCGGCUCUGUAAGUUUUCGGUUAAAUCUGUACGCUCAACGUACAGGCUGCCGGGAAUACUGCAGAGCUAGGGAGUGGGAGAGGUAGACGGUACUCGGUAGGAAGGGGUAAAAUCCUUUGAUCUAUUGAUGACCACCUGUGGCGAAGGCGGUCUACCAGAACACGUCCGACGGUGAGGGAUGAAAGCUGGGGGAGCAAACCGGAUUAGAUACCCGGGUAGUCCCAGCUGUAAACCAUGCAAACUCAGUGAUGCAUUGGCUUGUGGCCAAUGCAGUGCUGCAGGGAAGCCGUUAAGUUUGCCGCCUGGGAAGUACGUACGCAAGUAUGAAACUUAAAGGA